GUCUCAAAUACAGGAGAAGGAAUUGGGUUUGUUUCCACAUUCUGUUGUUACAGCCGUUCCUAAGCGAGGUGCAGAGCGUCGUGGUCUGUGUGCCUGAAGUAGAGUUGGGAGGGAGUUUUCUUGUGUUAAGCUAGAAAAAAAAAUGGUUUUCCUGUUGGGAAAUACUUGGAACAGAUUCAACAGAUUAAAUUCCUGAAGACACCCGCUCUGGUAUAUAUGUUGAUACUAAGAUUAUCUACUUUAUAGAGUCCUUCUCCCUCCUUUUUUCUGGGGGGAGAAAAGGGCAAAACCCCCAAGAAUUAAAGGAAGACAAAAUUAGGAGGCUUCGUUCGGAUUUCCGUGGCUUAAAACGGAAAAGGUCGUGUGGUACCACUGCUGGUACAUCUUUCUCUUCCGAGGACUGACAGUAGCACGAGUCUCACGACACAGGGAUUUGUCCUGAUAAAAGUUCGUUCUGCACGGAUGCUAAAAGUGAGCUCGUCUGCUGAGGAGGACGUAGCCGUGGGUUACGAGUCGACUCCAUCCUCCCGGCCGGCGUCGAGCCUCCCGCCUGCCCGUGCCUGCACGUCAAGGGUGCUGCCCGCCCCGCCCCGCCCCGCCCCACGUACCGACCAACGCCGUGGGGAGCGCCCUGAAACGGGAAUUUGACUCAUUCUCUUUGAAAAAGUGCCUUGCAGGAUUCAUACUUUUUUUUUUUUUUUUUUUAAUUUAUUUUGGCAUCUAAAAAGCCCGUUCUUCUGUCCAGAGGACUGGUAUUGUUCAGUUUAUCUACAUCAGCUUUUUAAAACAAAUAAACCCAGUUGCCUGUAAAAUAUGUCGGGGUGACCUUAACAAUCGGUCCCAGUCGUUCUUCGUCAAGACAAUUUCCACGCAGCAGCGAGGGAGCACAGGGCUGCUCUGGGUCCCCGCCCCGGGCAGGACAGCGAGGGAGAAGCUCCGAGAGGAAGAGGGGAUGGAGCCCCCUCGUAUCAGAACUCUGCAGCAAGGGCCGGGGGCUGCUGGUUCCCCUCCACCCUCAAUCCAUCACGGGACGGGGCCCGCGGCCGCGGGAGGGGACCCUCAUGCUCUUCCAGGGAACCGGACACGUGUCGGCAUCGGGGGUGGUUCCACUUGAGUUCACUGAAAAUAAUUCUGCUGCGUCGUGCCUUUUUUUACCAAAACAGGACACUUACAGUUUGGAAAAAGGCCAUCGUGUCCCUCUUUGGGUGCAGUAAUAUGAAGCUACUUUAAAUAUCAGAAAAUGGGAAGGAAUGCCUGCUUUUCAUUUGUUUACAGAAAAGGAGUUUAAGCACUAUUCGCCGGCCACGGCAGCUGAACCGGGGCCUGGCUGGAGGAACGCACGUUCAAAAAAGGAAUUCAAAGAGCUUAAGCAUAAAUGAAAGCUUUUAUUUCCCAUUUACCGGUUUGAAUGGGAAGGUGUAUUUUUGUGGCGUGUCUUUAAAGAUGCCUUUUAUGUGAUGUAUUUAUAAUUCCACUACAGCGGCAUUCCUAAUACUGGUUUUAACAUGCUGUACUUCUGUUGGAGCCGUUACGGGAACUGUAGCGCAUGGAAAAACAAUUCUGAGCUCGUUGUUUGCCUUAAAAACUCGCUUGUUUGUGUACCAAAUCAACGUGUGUUGUAUCAGUCGGAAUAAAAGUUCAGCAGAAUAA